CGCCACGAGGCCGACGCGCGCCGGCCGCCCGCGCACCGUCAGGUGGAAGGCGAAGACCCCCGGGAAGCCGUAGUUGCCCUUAUUGCCUUUGGCUCCGGCUUCACCUGGAACAGGGAAAAGUAAGGGGGGAAAGGAAGAUUAAAACCAACAGUGUUGGAUUGUUUUGGAGACAGAGAGGCAUCACCAACAGCAAAGGGAAAGGUCAGGGCAAUAUUCCUGGUUUCCCAGCGCAUGUUAUGUACCUUGUAGCCCAGGUUUCCCUGGAUAACCGGGAUUUCCACUUGCUCCUCGCUCGCCUUGCUCCCCUUUUCCUCCUAGAACAUUCCACAAUUAAUGAAUUCAUUAAUUCUGUCUGCAGCCAGCAAUCAUUACACAGCAAUAAUCCACUGGGACCAUUUCCAUGCAUCCCUCACUUCCCUGAUAGAACAGUGUGUGUUUGCAAGAAACCCCUUCAGAAACCUCGGCUGAAUCUCACACCUCAAGAACCAUCUCACUCUGUGCUGGAUUUCUGCCUCACUGGGAGGCAGUUCCUGCUGUUGAAUGGCAAGAUGGAGAAGGUGACAGCAUUCCUCAUUCCAGGAUUGCCAAAAGCCUUGUUCCAGAGGUGAAUCGAGGCCUAAAAGACUGACUAAACAGCUCAGCACCCUGCUGCUGGAAGCCCUGUAUCAGCUUUGCUGUGGGAUUCUCCACGACCCAAGGCAGCCACAGGAUCCUGCCAGAGGUGUGUGGGGCAGGAAUCAGCUGCUCCAAGCCUGGAAUGAAGGCCAAGUUUUCCUUUUGGUCACUACUGAUGGGUGACAACUGCUCUCCAUACAAGCCGAAAUCAUUUUUCCUGAGAUACUUCAACUGAAAUGCAGCUUCUACACCUGCUUUCGUGGUGGGUUUUCCCACUUAUGUCCCUCAUCCAAAGCAAAUUGAACUCAGUUUUUAAACUAUUCAGAACAAGGAUAUCCACUGAUAUCUUUAAGAGCAGCUGCUCUUAUACCAUCUGAACAUACACCCGAGUUAUUGCCCCCUAAACCUCUCCAGGUGUCAAUCCCUAUCAGGACACUCCUUCCUCUUGGAAAAAUAGGAUUUCUUUAAAUUUUGUGGUAUUUGAUGAGGACAACAGCAUUUGCUUUACCUCUUUCUCCUUUAGAACCUUUUGGACCUUGAGGACCUGGAGCUCCUGGCAGACCUGGCAGACCAUCAUCUCCCUUGUCCCCCUUGGGACCUGAAACACAACCACAUUCACAAAAUUACCUCAGUAACUCAAAGAUUUCACUUUAAAAAUAACAUGUGCAAUAAUUGCUGAGCAACCCGGCACUGGGGAGUGUGUGGAAGGGGCUUCCAUCACUCUGGGAAGAGCUGGGUGUUUUAUUUGACACCAUAAAACCAGUGCAAAUCUUACAGUUCUGCAUUUCACCCUUGGCCGUAGUUAAAGACUUUUUAAAACCAACUUUGAGCUGCCUCAGAGCCACGGGAGCUCAGACAGCAAUAAAACUUCAGAAUUAAUCUCUUUUUAAUAUCUGAGUGCAUCUAAAGAGCUCCCAUUGCUUCAGAAUUGCCCCUCUCCUUAAAGAGAAUUAAGUCUGCAAAUAUAGAAGUGGCACCUGGCUGACAGUUCCUUGCUGCAGAAAGGAUGGGUUGAAAGGCAAGGAAGCUGGCUCCAAUCUUUCCUUCAUUUUUACAUCCACCCGGGAAUCUUAGAGACUCCCAGUGAAUGUCUGGGAGCAGAUUAUGGCAGCUUCAAUCAUCCCAAGGACUUUUCCAUCAAUGUUCCAGAGACAUAAGAAAUCAAACCCCCUUUGUAGCCACUGAAACUUCCAUCAGCCAAUCCCUCCCAAGCCAUGGGAAGUGAGCAUCCCUAGAGUACCCUGUAUUAAAGGAGAUUUCAUGAUUUUACCACC